GACGAACGCUGGCGGCGUGCCUAAUACAUGCAAGUAGAACGCUGAAGAGAGGAGCUUGCUCUUCUUGGAUGAGUUGCGAACGGGUGAGUAACGCGUAGGUAACCUGCCUUGUAGCGGGGGAUAACUAUUGGAAACGAUAGCUAAUACCGCAUAACAAUGGAUGACACAUGUCAUUUAUUUGAAAGGGGCAAUUGCUCCACUACAAGAUGGACCUGCGUUGUAUUAGCUAGUAGGUGAGGUAACGGCUCACCUAGGCGACGAUACAUAGCCGACCUGAGAGGGUGAUCGGCCACACUGGGACUGAGACACGGCCCAGACUCCUACGGGAGGCAGCAGUAGGGAAUCUUCGGCAAUGGGGGCAACCCUGACCGAGCAACGCCGCGUGAGUGAAGAAGGUUUUCGGAUCGUAAAGCUCUGUUGUAAGUCAAGAACGAGUGUGAGAGUGGAAAUUUCACACUGGGACGUAGCUACCAGAAAGGA
rnacentral:rRNA from 1 species